rnacentral:misc_RNA from 1 species
GGCGCACGCAUGAGCCGCGUGCGGUCACCCUUUCCCUCACAUCCCCUGCUUUCCUCUCUCGCUCUCGCUGAUGGGCCGCUGACGCGCUUCAUCGCUUCGCUUCGAGCGCUCCAUUUAAAGAGACGUGGGCGGUGGUACUACGGCCCGUCGGCCACACGCCAUCGUUGUUGCCGUCGCUGCCAGCUCACCGGCCGGCUGCUUCGGCGUUGGCUUUGUUUGUGUCGCUGCUGCAGCACUUCGAUCUCGCUGCCGGGGCAGCGUACACACGUCUGCGUAAGUCCGCGGAAAUGACGCGAACCGGGGCUGCCGCUGCUUCUGGUGCAUCGUCGUCGACGUUGUCGUCGCCGUCCACAGCUGUUGCUCCCAGCGAUGAUGUCGUUCCCGAGCAACACCAAUGGCAGCAGCAGCGCCACCUUCUUCGUUGCUUCGCCUUGGCAGACCUCCUUGGCGUGUCACCGACAGUGAUGCAGCAGCUGGCUAACGCCGCGGCAACGCCGUCUAGCUCGCUGCGCCACGCACGCAACACUUCGCGCUCCAGCUCUCACUGCUCCACCGAGAGCGACCCCGUGAUGCAGGCGUAUCAACUGGAGCAGAUCCUCGUGGCCGCCGUUCUGAAGCGGCUUUCCGAUCGCUGCUGCGACUCCGACCAGAGCAUCCAGGAUAUUGGCAGCGUAGAUGCACGGCAGCCGGCAGCUUCUUCGGUCUCGACGACGGCGCGGCAGCCUGCGCAAAAGCACCAGCCCUCGUCUUUGAAGGCACCUCCGUGGUCGGCAGCACUGUCUGAGCCACGGCGUGCCUGUAAGUCUCCGCAGCAACCAGAUGGGGGGUUGUUGCUGCCUUCGGUGCUGAGUUCCCCUCAGGGGGUGGCCCGCGUGGACGCCUUGCACGCGUCUUUCCUCCCGCUACUGCUUGUCGCGCUACUGCAGCGCGUGAGUGAGGGAAGGGGCGGCGAUACGCAAGUCACACACGCCGCGGUGCCGAAGCAAAAAGCUGGCACUAACGCGGCCGUCUUAUCUCUGCGGCAGCAGCGAAGUUGUCGUGAUGCGCUUCAUCAGCUGCUGCCACUUUACACGCAUCUGCUCCUGCAGCGACAGCGCGCCGCCUGUGCUGUGGUGAGCUCCGUUGUGGUGGCACUACAGGCGUGCCCGUGUAGUCGUCACGAUGACGGCGAGAGCACCACCGAGGAGGAAGAGAGCCGAAAGCGUAUUCAGCGUCUAGUGCAUCAAGGACUGUGCUGCAGCGAGGUCAAGCAGUGGCUGCACGCAGCUCGUCUCUUGUCCGACACGCUCGUGGCGUGUCUCUCCCACGUGAGUCGACGAGCCAGCACAGCAGCAGCAGCACCGCCGCCGCCGCCGCCGUCAGGCGCCGUCGUGGUGGACGAGGACGAUUCGAUGGAGGCGCGGUGGACGCUGGAGAUGGCCGGGGUGUGGCUGAGUGUGGCAGGGAUGCCACGCCAAGGUGACACGCCGGGGGCAGAGGGGCGGCGUCCGUCAGAUCUUUGGUGGUGGGAAGCAGGUAUGAGCGUUUCGAGUGGCGCCGCGCAGCCGGACCCCGACAGCAGCACCCUUGCAACUUCUGGGGCCUCAAAGAACCCACAAGACUGCGCGCCGUUCACCGCCGCCACUACCACCACCGCGGAGGCGCUCGCGCUUGCAGAGGUCAUGUGUGCCGUAGGCGAGGAGACGUGCAACGACAUCUGGCCCCACGAGGGCGGCCAUUCUGGCGAACAGCAGCAGCUGCCACCGUCGAGUUGUGCAGUUGUUGGUGGUCGGAUAGUGGCGAUGCUACGCGAUGUGAUGGCAUUCUUUCUCGCUAGGCACCACGACAGCCGCGUGUUCGAUCCUCUCCGCACCCUUUCGGCUUCCGAGGUGACGGCGACUGAGCCUCGACAUCGCUACGUGCUCCUCCUCGCUGAGCGUCUUGAGACGGCGCAGCGCCACCAGCACCGCCUGCUCGCCGCGGCGGAGCGCGCCGUUCACCGAGUCCUGCAACAGCAGCACCGACAGGACCUCAGCGUCCUCUGGCAACCACCAUGGAUGAUCGUGGCACUGUGCAGCGUCACCGCCUAUCAGCUGCGCACCCAGCUGCAUCGACGCGAGCAGCGCAUGGCCGAGCUUUACACCGCGACCGCGGCGACGGCGACGGCGGCCAUGAUCGCGUCACCGCACAUGAACAUCGACUCGCUUCCUCCCUCCGGCAGUGUGGCCGUUACGGAUCCGAAGAGACGCAGCAGCAGCGAUGAGGUGGACAGGGACUCUCGACAUGGCCGAUACUCGUCUGGCGGCGCUCCCUCUACCGCUGCUGCCGCGAAACCCGCGCAGCUAGGGAAGUGGCUUUGGUCAGAGGAAGAUGACGAUGAUGCUGCGGCACCGCAUGAGAAGAGCCAAGGGCAGUGGCGUGCUCGAUCCCUCGAUGAGGGUGCUGGACUAGCAGCACACGCAGCGGUGCUAUCCUCUACAGCCGGCCCCGCCACCACAACAUCCGCAGCAGCGGCAGCAGACACAACGAUUUCCAUGCCGUCACCCCCACCGCCGCCGCUCGCGGUGUCAUCAGCUCCGUCUUCUGUGCAUGCGCUAGCACCUCUUCGCUACACACCGCGCACAAGCAGCUUGCACCAUGGGUCUCGCGUCUAUGGAACGCUGCCGGCGAUGCACGGAAGUGGGGAUGCGUCAGCUGCCGCUGACGAGGACGCCGGAGAUGGUGAGCGACUCGCGCGCGGCAGCAACGACUACUACGCGCCUGCUCGGUCGAUGGAGCGCCUAUGGGAGCUGCCAGCGCGCGUGCCGCGGGAUUGGACGCCAGCGCUGGCCACGCUGAUGGCGUGUUGCGUGCUGUGUCUCAGCUCAACCUCGACGACGGCGGCGGCGUCACGGCUCGCGGUGCUGCUUGGUGAGACGCUACUGAGUCGUCAUUCCGCGGAGGCGGAGUUGGCGCACAACACCGCUGCUACUUCUCUCAGUGGCUCGGCCUUUGAGCCGUUGGCGAGGCCAGUCGCCAGCCCGCGAGCAAGCCUCCCUGACUUCAGCUUCAGCAAGCGCCACGAGGCUUCAGCGGCGACGGCAGCCGGCAUAAGUGUGCGCAGCAGCGUGUGUAGUAGCAGCGCCACCAACAGUAUCGCUGACGUAUCCAUGGCAGUGGAUAGCACCGACAGCGGCGGGGAGUUCGCCAGCUCCGUGGUAGCUGUGGGGGCACUGGCGCAGUGGCACCUGCGAGGGCUGAUCCGGCAGUUGUGCCUCCCAGUCAACGGGCGAGUGCUGCCGAGCGAGCAGGCCGGCCGAGACCGUCUUCGAGGCCGCCACACUAAAGCUUCAAGGACGCGUUCUGCUGCCGGGUCAUCCUCGCUGGCUCUUCUUAGCAACGCCGUCGACCGCACCUCCGCGACGCCCAGCUCGGCGGGUGCGGUGGCAGGCGGCGAUUCGUGGUUCACGAGGUACAACCAGACCACCCGCGCCCGUUCCCGUGUGCUGGAUGCGGCGACGCGCUCGGAUCGCCGCGGCGCGGAUGCCGCCGCAUCGUCCUCCCUUCCACCGGCAGGUGGUGUCUUGCGCCGGCUUGAUCCCGUGUCCCUUCUCGCCAGCUGCUUCGCCCUGAUGCACCUACUGCAGACCCAGCCGCGCUUCUUCCAGAAGGCGAGGUUGGGCGGACGCACAAUGCAGGAGUUGCGACUCGGCGUGCUGGAAGCUCGCUGGGGCGGCGAGCCGGGGUGCGCAGCACAGAUGCUGCAGCGUCACGGCUCGGCGACGAGCAUUGUGACGGUUUCCGUCAACAGCGUAUCGAGAGCCCUUGUGGACGGCACAGCUGGCGGGCACGCCGACCCGCGCGCCGGCGGCGCAGAUGCGUCGCGGCGUCGCCGGGAUGCCUUUCGCUUUGCCCGUGGUCGCUCACUGUGGGAUCGCCCCGGCGCGGGGGCACCAGAAGCGGCACUGGGCAGGCCGCUGGGCAUGGGCGCGAGCGAUGACGACGGUGACGAUGACGAUGCGGAUGCGCCGGUGCCGGCUGCGGCAGCCGAUGCGUACGGCAGCGUGGACGACUCCUGCGAUGAAGCAGCGGCCGCAGCCACGUGUAACUUUACCGAGGCGCUUCUUGUUGUCGUUUCCUACGUUGGCUGCCGAGCCCUUGCAGCGGCGUUGGUGCAGCUCGCAGCUCCAGCCCUCGACAGCGCGGAGGCGGUGGACGCGAGUUUCAUCCCGUGUCGGGGCAGUGGCAUCGCGCCUGCUGUCACCUCCUCUGCCCCUCCUCGAGACCUUUGGUGUGAUGCUCUGCAGGCGAUCACAGGGCUGUUGCUGGAGGCGCAUCGAGCACACAGAGGGGGUACCGCUGCCAGCCGCGUUCGUGCCGUGGCAGCGGCAGCAUCAAGGAGUAGCGUUGACCACCACGACAGCACGCGUGCCUGCAGCCACGGCAUCCUGUCGUCUGCCAGUCGCUCGGUGGACAGAGCAAGCACGCUGGCGUCAACAGCAACCGCGACAGUCGGCGUACUCCUGCCAGCCUCCCGCGCAUCCGCAAGUACGUCAGUGUCGCCGCAGCCGAGCGACCCUCGGCAAGCACUCGGCUUGGGCUCUGCCCCGACGGCGCCUUCUUUUCAUGCCUCUCGUCCCGUUGGUGAUGGUGGACGCGGCGCCCACGCUGCCGCCUCCCCUCACAUCGCGAUCACCGCCACACACUUGAUGCCGGCACCGCUGUCAACGGAGGCACAAUUCGGAAUCGGGGCAUUCUUCUUCGCCCUCGUGCGAGCGCUGUUGCAGCUCCACGCGUUGUCGUCGGCGGCGGCGACCUGCGUCGGAGGUCCGCCCGGCCAGCAGCAGCAGCAGUAUCAUCAUCGGCCACAGCCUCUACUGUGCGUUGUCCAGUGCCUCUACGCGGUCGCUAGCAUCAUUGAUGACGUGCUGCACGACUACUCCAACCCUCCGCCUGCCGUGCUGUGUGACGUGCUCGCGAUUAUGUUGAUGAUACAACCGCUGCAUCAGCCAUCAGCGACGGUGCAGGAGGCGGGUGCCAUAGUGCCGCCGCCGCAAGUUAGCGACACGCUUACUGCGUGGGAGGCGCUGCGCCUAACGCCUUUCUGGGACGGUGCUCUGCUCGGUCCCUUAGAGGCUGCAAGUCGCGCGUGGGCGUGCCAUGAGGAGCGCAGCACCGCCGCACCAUCUGAUAACGGUGAGGAGCGCCGGAGUAGUGAUCGUCAGCGCGGCCGCCCCCCUCGCUCGGCAACCAGGCUAUGUGAGUCACCAUCGGCGUCGCACAUCCCCUCACCGCCCCAGCCCUCACGCCCGCCGUGGCAGAGCCUCCUCGGGCACCUCCCGUGCUCCCGAGACCCGUUUUCCACGUCAUGGUUGCCAGCGGCUUUUCGCGGGUCAUCACGCUCUAGCACCAGCUGGACACUGCUUGCCCUGCUGGCGAAAGAAGACGAUCUUCUCUUAGCAGACCCGCCGACAGCAACGGCUGCGAACACGGCGGACGAGAUACGUCAGCUGAGCGUUUCCAUCGUGGCGUCCGCGCGGUACACGGAGUGGAUGGAGACAUUGUGCGAAGCGUGGCAAGCGUGAUGGUGCGCGGGCACGUGUAUGUGUGUGCGCCUCUUUUCUCUUUCCUUGUCAUCGCGCCCUCAGCCCCCUCAAUCGCCAGCCACGUGGCGUGUCCCUCUGAGACGAUACGUGCAUGCACCUACUUGUAUGAGUCACCAAUGCCGAUGCAUCGGCUGAACAUAUUCGGCCUCGGACCCCACGAGCAGCAGCAGCUGCUGCUGCUGCACGGGCGGAAGAGCGAAAUGG